rnacentral:rRNA from 1 species
AGCAGCCGCGGUAAUUCCAGCUCCAAUAGCGUAUAUUAAAGUUGUUGCAGUUAAAAAGCUCGUAGUUGAAUUUCGGGAUCAAUAUAUCGGUCGUGCCUUGGUACGUACUGGUAUCAUUGGUUUCUCCUUUCUGACGAACCAUGAUGUCAUUAAUUUGGUGUUAUGGGAAGUUAGGACUGUUACUUUGAAAAAUUAGAGUGUUCAAAGCAAGCUCACGCUUGAAUACAUUAGCAUGGAAUAAUGAAAUAGGACGUUUGAUUCUAUUUUGUUGGUUUCUAGGAUCGACGUAAUGAUUAAUAGGGAUAGUUGGGGGCAUUAGUAUUCAAUUGUCAGAGGUGAAAUUCUUGGAUUUAUUGAAGACUAACUACUGCGAAAGCAUUUGCCAAGGAUGUUUUCAUUAAUCAAGAACGAAAGUUAGGGGAUCGAAGACGAUCAGAUACCGUCGUAGUC